CAGGACGAACGCUGGCGGCGUGCCUAACACAUGCAAGUCGAGCGGAGUAAUUGAAAGCUUGCUUUGAUUAACUUAGCGGCGGACGGGUGAGUAACGCGUGGGCAACCUGCCUGUUACAGGGGGAUAACACAGGGAAACUUGUGCUAAUACCGCAUAACACAACGAGAAAGCAUUUUCUUGUUGUCAAAGGAGCAAUCCGGUAAUAGAUGGGCCCGCGUCCAAUUAGCUAGUUGGUGAUGUAACGGACCACCAAGGCGACGAUUGGUAGCCGAACUGAGAGGUUGAUCGGCCACAUUGGGACUGAGACACGGCCCAGACUCCUACGGGAGGCAGCAGUGGGGAAUAUUGCACAAUGGGGGAAACCCUGAUGCAGCAACGCCGCGUGAAGGAUGAAGGUUUUCGGAUUGUAAACUUCUUUAGUCAGGGACGAAUAAAUGACGGUACCUGAAGAAUAAGCCACGGCUAACUACGUGCCAGCCGCGGC
rnacentral:rRNA from 1 species